GACGAACGCUGGCGGCGUGCUUAACACAUGCAAGUCGAACGGAAAGGCCUGCUUUCCCUUGUGGAUUGCGGGUACUCGAGUGGCGAACGGGUGAGUAACACGUGAGUGAUCUGCCCCCAACUUGGGUAUAAGCCUGGGAAACUGGGUCUAAUUCCCGAUAGGACUGCAGGGUGGUGCCUGUGGUGGAAAACGAUUUUCUAGUGGUUGGGGAUGAGCUCGCGGCCUAUCAGCUUGUUGGUGGGGUAAUGGCCUACCAAGGCGGCGACGGGUAGCCGGCCUGAGAGGGUGGACGGCCACAUUGGGACUGAGAUACGGCCCAGACUCCUACGGGAGGCAGCAGUGGGGAAUAUUGCACAAUGGGCGGAAGCCUGAUGCAGCGACGCCGCGUGGGGGAUGACGACCUUCGGGUUGUAAACUCCUUUCGACCGCGAGGAAGCCACCUGGUUGGAAGGGUGGUGACGGUAGUGGUAGAAGAAGCACCGGCUAACUACGUG
rnacentral:rRNA from 1 species